GUGUUCCUGUGUCCUUAGAAGUGCAGUAAUACCUUAUGGCCACAAGGCAGCAGCUCCCAGCUCAAUGUAAGCUGAAAUGAAGAAAGUGAUGGGUUGUUAGUCAAGACAACUGAAACACGUUCAUCUUCCAUCUUUUCAAGGAAAAGCAUGUUGCAUGGGAGGUUUCUACUGGCCCAGGAAGUGGAAAUCAGUGAGUUGGAUUUUUCCUGUGCAUGGGACGGGAGCUUCCUGAGAAUCACUGGUCAAGCACGAGGGUCACUGCAAGACGAGGCCCUGGCGUCCCAUCCUGGCUCAGACUUCUGCUUGGCCAGUGGCUGGCUGGCCGAGCCCUGUGCCCAGCUGAGAUGAAGGGCCUUGCGGUGGCCAACAGGACUCAGAGAAGGAUAACGGAAAAGUACCCAUCACUUCCUCCACUGAGUGUGGUGAGGAAACCGAAUUUCUCCCGUGGGUCAAGUCAACAUCGAAGAAGGGAAAUGGUCAGGUAUGAGCCUUCUUCCUGCCCCCGCAGUGGGAUGCUGCUGGUCGGGAGGGGGAGGACACCUCAUAUGCAUAGAGGAGUCCAGAGUCGGACAUUUGGACGCCUUCUCCACGGAGGUGAGCCAACCUAAGCGAACACCUGGAAACAGAGAAGAGGGAGGGAAGGAAGGUGUCCCAGUGGGACCCACAGCCAUGCCCUCCUGUGCUGGUGGGAGCUAGAGAGAAGAGGGGAGAGUCUGUUUCUUCAUAGUCAGGGGAAAAGCUUAACUUCUGAGAACAGUCUCCAAGGGACAAAACAAAAAACAACCCAAGGAAGGGCUGUGCUUCCAGAAAUGGGGAAGUGGUUCCCACAAGCCCAGCCCUGCCUUGUAGAAUGAUCACCUUUCAACAAAACAUAAAACAACAAGUGCCUGGAGCCUCUGGAGAGAGACAAAAGGCACAGAAACUAAAGGGAGCCAGGUGCCCGGAAAAGGAUGGACAGAUGGAGGAUGGACAGAUGGGCCGAGAGCCAGGUGUUCACGCAGGAUCUGGGUACUGAGCGUGUGGGUGUUCCCUGCACAGUUCUUUCAACUUUUCUGUGUGUUCAAAAUUUUUUACAAUACAAUAUUGGUGAAAAAAAUCAUUGGACUGAAUUUGACUCCAGCAGUUAAAAAAAAAAAAAAAAAAUCCAAGUUAUUAUUAAGUGUAGUUUUACUCCAAUGUCAAUAUCAUGUGUCUAGUUGUAGCCCAAUAUCUAACACACGUACGGGGGAACACAUCUAACGUGUUAGAUUUCAUGCCAGAAUAAAAUUAAUUCAUCACUUGUA